CGUAUAUUAAAGUUGUUGCAGUUAAAAAGCUCGUAGUUGGAUUUGUGGUGGUUACUGAGGUCCACUUUUGGUACCAACAGUAACCGCCAUCCUUGGGUGGAAUCUGUGUGGCAUUAGGUUGUCGCGCAGGGGAUGCCCAUCAUUUACUGUGAAAAAAUCAGCGCGUUCAAAGCAGGCUUAUGCCGUUGAAUGUAUUAGCAUGGAAUAAUAAGAUAGGACCUUGGUACUAUUUUGUUGGUUUGCGCACCGAGGUAAUGAUUAAUAGGGACAGUUGGGGG
rnacentral:rRNA from 1 species